GAUGAACGCUGGCGGCGUGCCUAAUACAUGCAAGUCGAGCGAACAGAUAAGGAGCUUGCUCCUUUGACGUUAGCGGCGGACGGGUGAGUAACACGUGGAUAACCUACCUAUAAGACUGGGAUAACUUCGGGAAACCGGAGCUAAUACCGGAUAACAUAUUGAACCGCAUGGUGCAAUAGUGAAAGGCGGCUUUGCUGUCACUUAUAGAUGGAUCCGCGCCGUAUUAGCUAGUUGGUAAGGUAACGGCUUACCAAGGCAACGAUACGUAGCCGACCUGAGAGGGUGAUCGGCCACACUGGAACUGAGACACGGUCCAGACUCCUACGGGAGGCAGCAGUAGGGAAUCUUCCGCAAUGGGCGAAAGCCUGACGGAGCAACGCCGCGUGAGUGAUGAAGGUCUUCGGAUCGUAAAACUCUGUUAUCAGGGAAGAACAAAUGCGUAAGUAACUGUGCACAUCUUGACGGUACCUGAUCAGAAAGCCACGGCUAACUACGUG
rnacentral:rRNA from 1 species